UAUAUAUAUAUGCUCUGCAAAUAUUGUUAAACAUUCGUUCAUUUGCGCCACUGUAUGUUUCUGUCGGUGGGUGCUAUAAUGUUGCACGUCUUGCAUCACAUGCAGGUCAAAGUUUGAGCGCACACAUGUAAUAUCUGUGAGUUUUGUAAUAUCUCCCGUUUUGCAAGAGAAAAGGGACUGGGAUUCCAACUGUCAGCGGAGAGUGUUGUCUGCAACCAGAAAAUCAGGAUGGAUCCGUGACCUGCCAAUACCUCAGGUCAAUAAGCAUGCCAUUCUUCUUUUUUUCCUCGAUGAUGC